CUACGUGCCAGCAGCCGCGGUAAUACGGGGGGUGCGAGCGUUAAUCGGAAUAACUGGGCGUAAAGGGCACGCAGGCGGUGACUUAAGUGAGAUGUGAAAGCCCCGGGCUUAACCUGGGAAUUGCAUUUCAUACUGGGUCGCUAGAGUACUUUAGGGAGGGGUAGAAUUCCACGUGUAGCGGUGAAAUGCGUAGAGAUGUGGAGGAAUACCGAAGGCGAAGGCAGCCCCUUGGGAAUGUACUGACGCUCAUGUGCGAAAGCGUGGGGAGCAAACAGGAUUAGAUACCCUGGUAGUCCACGCUGUAAACGAUGUCGAUUUGGGGGUUGGGCUUUAAGUUUGGCGCCCGUAGCUAACGUGAUAAAUCGACCGCCUGGGGAGUACGGCCGCAAGGUUAAAACUCAAAUGAAUUGACGGGGGCCCGCACAAGCGGUGGAGCAUGUGGUUUAAUUCGAUGCAACGCGAAGAACCUUACCUACUCUU
rnacentral:rRNA from 1 species